rnacentral:lncRNA from 1 species
GAUUAAUUUGGUAAGUGCAAUAGAAUUUAUGAAUAAAGUUUAUUAUGUAGCGCGCGCGCGCGCGCACAUACAUAUAUAUAUAUAUAUAUAUAAAACUACUUUUCCUUUAAAGGUUAGGAUUCCCUAUUCCAUCUCAUAUCCACUUUUCCUUUAAAUGUUAGGAUUCCUAUUUCAUUAGCUAUUGUUUUGCAAAUAACUACUCGUUUAUUAUGUAUGGGUAGGCCUGGAACACAUACAACGCAUUUUAAUUUUUUAUUCUAAAAUUGAACCAUCAUUGGCUUACAAUAUGAGCAAUCCAACGGUGGACAGAUUUUACGCUUAUAACCGGUUACCGAACCACUAUUAACAGGCAGUUAUUAAAGCUAAUGUUCACGUAGCACCCUUACUUUUAACUGAAUUUCAAAAUAAUCAAUUCAAAUUAGAAAACUAUUAAAGAUCCCCUUUAACUUUGCAAUGAAAAAUAUGCUUAAAUUAUGUAAUUUCUAAGCUAAUGAGAAUAAUAUUUAUAUUAAAAUAAAUAAAAAAUUAAUUAUAUUAUUUUAAUCUGACAUUAUAAGUUUUUUUUAUUAAAAAAUAUUUAAAACAUUUUUUGUUAAUUGUAUAAUAUUACAAUGCAGUUCAAAUGUAGCUAAAUCAUAUUACCCCUAAAUAUUUGAAAGGGAAAAAACCCAUAAUGCCCAUUAAGGAAAUCCCUACUUGCCAAUAUCGAAAGUAAAAUAAUUUUCCAUCCAACCGUUGGAUAGUUCUCAAAUAAAUAUAUUAUUGAUAAUACCAAGCUACAUAAUUCCCAAUAAAAUAUUAUUAGUACUACCAACUAAUAUUAAAAGUACAAUUAGAUCACAUUAUAAGGACACCGUGAAACAUCUCAAUAUUAGAAUAAUAGUCACGAAUAAUCUUAUGUAAAUUAUUUCAUGCAACUUUAUGUGAAAUUAAGUAAAUUAUUCUAUAUAGCAAUACCAUAUUUAUUCCUUUGUGCUAUAUUAUUUCUACGUUUAAAUUUAUCACUAUUUUCAAGCCACAAUAAUUUCUAUAAAUAGUUGUAAUGGACAUUUAUAUAUGUAAUGUUAAUAUUUGAUCUUAAUUUAUUAGUGUUAUCAUGAUUAAUGAAAUUAUAACACAACUUUAUUAUUGACGUUAUUAAUAGCUAUCAUUGUUAGCCAUUACUAUCAUUAUUAUUAUUAUUAGAGUUAGGAGUUGCUACAGUCAAAUUCUAGUACGUAACUAGCAAUAUAAUAUUGAUAAUUAUAAAUUCACAAUAACUGAAUUUGAGUAAUAUCCAUAUUAAAGAAAAAAGAACAUUGAAUAAUAUAUUUUUUUUUCAUAUUUUACAAUCAUAUAAUCUAGACAUGAUAAUUAUAUUUUUAGAUUUAUACCAAAUUAAUUUGUGUAAUAACGCGCAACGGAGGUGGUUACAUGAAAUAUAUAUACUAAUUGAUGUGCAAUUCAUUCAUAGGCAUUAUAAAGUUCAUUCACUAUUAAUACAUAAUAAAUCAAUUGUCAUUGAAAUGUAACUGUUUAAGAAUUAGUAUUAUGAACAGAAAUUUAUUGUUAAUAAUGAAAUAAAAUAAAAUAAAAUGACUCUUUUUUCUUGGGAUAAGGAGUCAUUUUUUAUUUAGGCGGCGAAACUACCGCCAUAAUGAAAUAUUUUUCAAACCUAUUUUUUUUACUAAAAAUAUAAAUACUUCGUAUUUUUCUACUUCAAAAACCCUAGCCACUCUAUCGAUUCAUCCCUCACACUGACACAUUCAAUACGAUCACCAACCACGAGAGCAGCCACCGCCGGAUGUCGUUGUUACCAAUACCCAAUACCCAGUUCAGGUAAUCAUUCAAAUAAAAUUUCAUUUUGUUGUUCACUAUCAACUAAUUCAGAUGAAAUCCUACACCUACCAGAAGGCCUUCAAUUUGUACCCAUUAAUAUGAAGAAAAGUUUUGAUAUCAUUGCCAUAUUUAUGAUCAUUCUGGUGACUUGUACAUCUCAAGUAUCAUUUGCUUAAAUAAUACCAAUGUUUAGUUGAAAAUGCUAGUCUAUGAUGACUCUUCAGGAGAAUCUAAUGAUCUUAACAAAGCGGGGUUUAUAAUUCUUGUCGAAUGUUAUCCAGUAUAAAUAAAUGAUGUAUAACUAUUUGUUUGGUGUACAAUUAUUUGUUAUGAAUAAUGAUGUACACAUAUACAAUAUACGACUGCUUCUUUACAUUUCUUCACAGAUUCAUUACUGAACAACCAAAUUAACAGCCGCUGUCACUACAUUAACACACUCGCUUAAGUUUUUUCAGAGAAGGUAUUUUCCGAUGCUGACUCCAUAUUUCUACUGUCUGUGAUAUUGAAUGACUUUUCAUGGGGUCUGUUAAUUUUUAAUUUAAUUUUCCAUCCGUUGGAUGCGAAUCUGCUGUACCGUACAUCCGCCUUGGCCGUACAGCAGUUUUAAUAUGUUGAUGAAACAGCUUUUUUUUUUUGGCACUAAUCAAAUAGGUUAAGUAGUAGUAUUAUUAUUACACAACUCAUUCCAAUAUGAUGUUCAGUCCACUAUUAACAUAGACAUAUUCCUCGUAAAAAUUUCGUAGAAAAAUUAUUCCUAAAGAUAGCCGAUUUCAUGAGUCACAAUAAUUAUUGCUUUUCAACUCUGUUUUUUGGGUCGGCAUCAUUUUCCUUGCUCUGCUCCUCUCUUGACUCCUCAGCUUGCUUCCUUUCUUCCUCAGCUUGCUUCCUUUCUGCUUCUUCCUUCCCUUCCUUGAGAGCUUGAAUCAAGCUUGAAAGGCAUUUCUCUACAUUGUCAGAUGGAGAUUUAGGCAUCAGAUUCUCAGCAACAUCGGCAGGUGUGAUCUUGGUAUCUUCCAUCAGCUUUUGAAUUGUUUCAAACAAUGUAUGAGUUUCCACAUUCAGAUAAUUCUUCGCAAGCACUUUGAAUCCCUGGAAUGUGCAGUAAGAGAGCUCUAUAUGUUUAUCCAUCCUGCCUCUUCUAAUCAAAGCUGGAUCAAGCUUCUCCACAUAAUUGGUGGUGAAAACAAUCAGCCUCUCCCCUCCACAAGCCGACCAUAGUCCAUCAAUAAAAUUCAGUAACCCUGAUAAAGUAACUUUGCUGCUGCCCUCUUCCUUUGGUUCCUUGCGCGAAAUCUCCUUAUCCAGCUUUUCUUUCUCAUCAUCCGACGACUUCUCAGCUUUCUUCUUCCUCUGACCUGUUAGUUCAAGCGAACAAUCUAUAUCUUCAAUCACAAUAAUUGACUUACUAGUCGUCUCAAUCAAAAGCUUCCUGAGCUCUGUAUUGUCCUUAACAGCUGUGAGCUCAAGAUCAUAAACAUCAUAAUUCAACAAAUUUGCCAUGGCAGCAAUCAUAGUAGACUUGCCAGUUCCUGGAGGACCAUAAAGAAGAUACCCUCUUUUCCAAGCCUUCCCAAUCCUUGCAUAAAAAUCUCUACUUUUGCUGAAAGUAACAAGAUCUUCAAUAAUCUCCAGCUUCUUCUCUGGCUCCAACGCCAUUGUCUCAAACGUUGCAGGAUGCUCAAACACAAUGUGACUCCACAUAGUUUGCUUGUAACUUGGCCACUUGUAACCAGGACUGUUUGUGUAAAGCUUCCUCUGCCGAUUUCUCACUCUGAUUUCUUUCCCUUCCUUCACUACAUGCUGCAAAUAAGACUCAGUUAUGAUCUCCCUAUACCGCUUAUGAAAUGUGAGCCUGUAGUAUCUCUUCUCCUGCUCAGGAUAAUAUGACAUGCCCCUCGUUGUUGACACGACUUUGCUUGAAACCCACCAAACUUUUACCCCGCGGAACUCGUCAGUAACUCUCUCAUACUCAUCCAUGCUAAGCACCAAGUUGCUGCUGUCUUUGCCCAUCUCAGCCUUGAGUCUUUUAGCACUCUUGGAUGAGUUGACGCUAAGAUAAGCCUCAACAGCAGCAUAAGCCUCGCUGCGCUUGAGGCGAUCACCCGUGAAUUCAUGGAUUGAAAUCUUGAUGUAAGGAUAAAAGAACCCCAUGAUUCUGUGCGUAUACUUUUCAAAGUGGCGGCGAACUUCAUAUGGGCAAUACUGGCGAAUGAUAGCCCACACAAACAUGAAACUUGCUAUUGUCGAACCCAUUGCUGCCAACAUCUCAGUCACUGUCGCUGGCACCAUCUUUCUUUGUUUUACAGUUGCUUUUACUCAGGCCAGGCCAAGCUAAGCGAAAAGAGUAUUGUAUUUGUGAUAAAGCUUUGUGAAUUGUGCUUCUUUUAUUCUGUUUGUUAGGCCUUCGAAUCAUAACAUUGUUAGUCCCUUAAAUAAAGUGAAGAAAGAGAAAACAGAGUAGGUAAGAGUAGAGAAUUGAGUCAUUACUAAACACCGCUUUUUAUGGACACAAGUGAUAUACGGGGAAAUUACCAUUUUCUCACUAUAAAUGUUUAAAAGGCUAAAAAUAUUAUAAAACUUUUAAAUCUAUCAAUUUUUUUAAUAUUGAUUACGCAUCAAAUUACUGUACAGCGGACCAUUACAUUGAUAUUUACAAUUAGAUAUAUGAUUGAGAUUUAUAUUAUUAAAUUAAAUUUUAUAAAGUCAAUUUUUUUAAUAUUGAUUACGCAUCAUAUUAUUGUACAGCAGACCAUUACACUGAUAUUUACAAUUAGAUAUAUAACUGAUAUUUAUAUUAUUAAAUUAAAUUUUAUAAAAUACAUGUCCAGAAAAAUAACUCUCACACACGAGCGAUGUCUCUACUCCACUAGCAUUUCACAAAGAAGAAAGAUUUUUAAAUUAACUUCACACAAUUAUGCAUAAUUAAGUAUAAAGUCGGGUCGGUCUUAGACAUCACUUGAUAAAUUUGGAAUCUGAAUUUUAUUAAAAAAUAUUUAUUAUUUUAAAUAUUUAUAUUUAUUUGACUCAUUUAUUACACAUAUAUAAAAUUUAAAACACUUAAAGUUUAUAUUUUCAUGUCAAAUUUUAUUGAAAUAAAUUUAAAACUUAUAAAAUUACCAAAAAAAUAUACACAUAUAAUAUUAAAAAAUAUAAAAUUUGGGUACCCGAAUUAAAAUUUGGCUCGAUGUCGAGCUUAAAAAACCCAGCCCAGACAUUUAAAAAUUACGUCUGGGCUGGAUCCGGGCAUUGCGAUACCCAAACUCGGCCCGAAGUUUUGCCAAUCAUGAGAAUUCGAACUACUGUUCUCACAAUCAUACUUAACUGUGGAGAUAAUUGUUCACCACUCAGCCAAAACCAAAAUCAAUCAUUUUUUAAACCAUACAUAAAAUUUUUUAAAAAGUAUUAUUGUUACAGCUUCCCCAUAAAUCUGUCAGAGAAUCUAUGUCAAAAGAUUAUUUUACGCUACGAAUUUAAUUUAACAUUAUGAUGCAAGGUAUUCUUAAAUAAUGAAUUAAAUAAGGCAAAUAGUGUGAAUUUUGUUUCGAAUGUCUGAACAAAAGUGAUGCAAACAUUUUGCGAAAUGUGCAUCAAGGAUCUGUUUAAAUUCUAUUAUUUGAUUAUGAAUGGAAUAGAAUUCAGUUGGUGCGUCUACGUGGACCGCGAUAGAAAAAGACAAAUGAUGCAGUCGGCGAGUCCACACCAUGUGCUGUAAAUAAAAACAAGUCACAUUUUGAUCCGCUUAAUGACAAAGAAAGAAGGCAAAGUUAAGUGAAAAGUGGGACUUGGUUGACGUUGACGCUGAUUUUCAAAAUAAAGUGAACGAAUCUUGGAGGGGAUUGAUCUAAUCAUCUAUGCUUUGAUCUUGCUUGCUCAGAAAUUUCCAAGUCAUUCCCCAUCAAAUUUGUGGGGUUGAAAAGAUUGGGGAUUUGCUUGGGAAGAAUCACUCCCAAGAGACUGCACUCUGCACUCGUCUUUCAGCCUGCUGUCUAUCUGCAUGUAGCAUCAUCGGGGACGAAAGUAGGAAACUUCUGGGAAAUUUUUGAAACGUUUUGCAAUGAUAAUGAAAGCUGUGAAGUCAUCUCAUGACAAUAAGCAUGACGACACUCACUGCUUCGAACCUUAUUAUCAAAGUCAACAAAUGGGUGUGUAUGGGAGCUGGCUAAAGCUGGAACUGUAAGUUACAGAAUCCGUAACUUGCCAGCUCCCCGUUUCUAAUCUAUUAUUCAACAACUAUAAUAAAUUUAUAACACGUCCUUUCAAGAUUUGUAAAGCCGUAGCCACUAGCCAGCCAUAUCAUUUGUUCAACCUUAAAUCAUUGGAGCCUGUCGAGUGUCGAAAAUUCUAGAAAAUAAGAACGCAAAUAUCAAGGAGAAUAAUGGUUUUGUUCUGAUGUUUUUGUUUUUAAAUUUUUAGUAGAAUGAGAUACGUAUAACCAAAAAAACUUGGAGAUUGUUUGGACUCUGGCGAGUGGUGACCCGACCCAGAAAGUAGGUGUCAGCAAAUAUGUGGCCACUCAGUGUAAAGCAUUGUUAUUAUCAUUAUUAUUAAAGGACACCAGUAGUGGAAUAGACGAGUUAGUCAUGUUUUGGACUUCACUUUUUUGAUCAAUGGUUGAAAGGAGACAACCGCUCGAGUCAAAUCAACUCACGUGGGUUAGUCCUAUGAGCAUAAACUUUGGGGCAAGUACAAGUAACAUUGCAAAAAUUAUUGUUCUUUUUUCUUUUGUUUUGGAUUGUUUAUUUUUUUGGUACGGAGACAAAUAUUGCUAUUAUUAUUAUUCACCAAAACAAUAAUACCCCGCGUGACAAUGAUAUUACUCUUAUGACACUAAACUUGGGUAUUCAUUCAUUUGUCAUCUUUACCAUUUGCGCAAUAUGCCAAGUUUUAUAAUAAAUAAUUAUAAACUUGUAAAGAUCGCCCGCCGUCCAUUCAUGAAUAUUAUUUAAUGCACGCAGCCUAAAUGGAUUAGGCACUCACUCUUAAUAUCUUUUUGUUUUUGGAACAUGCACUUGUAAUACAUGGAUUCCUCCUCAUUCCUCAACCAAAAAGGCAAAUAAAGUAAGUUGGUAGUGUGACACAUGUUUUCAUUUAUUAAUUAUUUAAGGUCUUGGUGGUUGGUAGUAAAGAACAAAAACUUAUUAUCAAAAGUGCAGGUUUUAUAAUAGAUAAGGAUCCGUUUAAUAUUAGUUGAAAUAAUUUAAAUCUGUCUAAGCUGAAAAUAGUGUAUAUCAUUCUAAAGAAUGGAUAAGGUUGAUUUAGAUUAGUUAGAUGUUUUUUGAAUUAGCUUCUUAGGUGAGUUAGUUAGCCAAGGAAAGCUAAACGACUCCAGUUCAGUUGUGCGGAUGGUGUGGAGCUCCUUCAAAGCAACUGAGACAAAGGUAGUUUUUGAACAGCUGUGGUUGUUCCAGUGCAUAAACUAAGCUGUUGUUAGUGCUAAUUGCUGUGAUGAAGUGAAAGCCUAUUGUAUUCACAUGAGCUUUUAGAAAAAGAAAGGUGCAUUGAGCUCUACGAAGAACGCGGCAUCGGCGUUCAUGGAUACGCUACGUUCGAUCAUAACCAUCACCUUUUGCAUUUUCAGAGCUUUAGAUUCUUGAUAUCUUCCUCAUUGGCAAACCAGUCUGGUAUUAUCCGUGCCAAAUGAGGGAAAAGAUCUUUGUAGACAUUCUUGAUGGUCCCUUCUGCUACUCUCGUAACAAUGGAGAUCUCUGCAAAAACAGGGGCAUGAAUGGCAUCUGAGUAAGCAUAAUUUCUAAAAGAAUUGAUAGCUUUCUAACCUUUGAGAGGCUUUGUGUCAUUUGAUAGCUGAGUUAUGAUGUAAAUAACAGCUGCCGCCACUGAGAUCGGGCUUCUCCUGUGAAAGCAAGCAAGAAUUUUGUUUUACCCAAAGCCAAUGACACCAUCUACAUACACUAUUCAUUUAUGAUUAAUUUUCUAAUGGAGUUGUUAAAAAAUUUCACAGAGAGAGAGGGAGAGACUGCUGUACCGUACAUCCCCCUUGGCCGUACAGCAGUGUGAAUUUUGUUUCGAAUGUCUGAACAAAAGUGAUGCAAACAUUUUGCGAAAUGUGCAUCAAGGAUCUGUUUAAAUUCUAUUAUUUGAUUAUGAAUGGAAUAGAAUUCAGUUGGUGCGUCUACGUGGACCGCGAUAGAAAAAGACAAAUGAUGCAGUCGGCGAGUCCACACCAUGUGCUGUAAAUAAAAACAAGUCACAUUUUGAUCCGCUUAAUGACAAAGAAAGAAGGCAAAGUUAAGUGAAAAGUGGGACUUGGUUGACGUUGACGCUGAUUUUCAAAAUAAAGUGAACGAAUCUUGGAGGGGAUUGAUCUAAUCAUCUAUGCUUUGAUCUUGCUUGCUCAGAAAUUUCCAAGUCAUUCCCCAUCAAAUUUGUGGGGUUGAAAAGAUUGGGGAUUUGCUUGGGAAGAAUCACUCCCAAGAGACUGCACUCUGCACUCGUCUUUCAGCCUGCUGUCUAUCUGCAUGUAGCAUCAUCGGGGACGAAAGUAGGAAACUUCUGGGAAAUUUUUGAAACGUUUUGCAAUGAUAAUGAAAGCUGUGAAGUCAUCUCAUGACAAUAAGCAUGACGACACUCACUGCUUCGAACCUUAUUAUCAAAGUCAACAAAUGGGUGUGUAUGGGAGCUGGCUAAAGCUGGAACUGUAAGUUACAGAAUCCGUAACUUGCCAGCUCCCCGUUUCUAAUCUAUUAUUCAACAACUAUAAUAAAUUUAUAACACGUCCUUUCAAGAUUUGUAAAGCCGUAGCCACUAGCCAGCCAUAUCAUUUGUUCAACCUUAAAUCAUUGGAGCCUGUCGAGUGUCGAAAAUUCUAGAAAAUAAGAACGCAAAUAUCAAGGAGAAUAAUGGUUUUGUUCUGAUGUUUUUGUUUUUAAAUUUUUAGUAGAAUGAGAUACGUAUAACCAAAAAAACUUGGAGAUUGUUUGGACUCUGGCGAGUGGUGACCCGACCCAGAAAGUAGGUGUCAGCAAAUAUGUGGCCACUCAGUGUAAAGCAUUGUUAUUAUCAUUAUUAUUAAAGGACACCAGUAGUGGAAUAGACGAGUUAGUCAUGUUUUGGACUUCACUUUUUUGAUCAAUGGUUGAAAGGAGACAACCGCUCGAGUCAAAUCAACUCACGUGGGUUAGUCCUAUGAGCAUAAACUUUGGGGCAAGUACAAGUAACAUUGCAAAAAUUAUUGUUCUUUUUUCUUUUGUUUUGGAUUGUUUAUUUUUUUGGUACGGAGACAAAUAUUGCUAUUAUUAUUAUUCACCAAAACAAUAAUACCCCGCGUGACAAUGAUAUUACUCUUAUGACACUAAACUUGGGUAUUCAUUCAUUUGUCAUCUUUACCAUUUGCGCAAUAUGCCAAGUUUUAUAAUAAAUAAUUAUAAACUUGUAAAGAUCGCCCGCCGUCCAUUCAUGAAUAUUAUUUAAUGCACGCAGCCUAAAUGGAUUAGGCACUCACUCUUAAUAUCUUUUUGUUUUUGGAACAUGCACUUGUAAUACAUGGAUUCCUCCUCAUUCCUCAACCAAAAAGGCAAAUAAAGUAAGUUGGUAGUGUGACACAUGUUUUCAUUUAUUAAUUAUUUAAGGUCUUGGUGGUUGGUAGUAAAGAACAAAAACUUAUUAUCAAAAGUGCAGGUUUUAUAAUAGAUAAGGAUCCGUUUAAUAUUAGUUGAAAUAAUUUAAAUCUGUCUAAGCUGAAAAUAGUGUAUAUCAUUCUAAAGAAUGGAUAAGGUUGAUUUAGAUUAGUUAGAUGUUUUUUGAAUUAGCUUCUUAGGUGAGUUAGUUAGCCAAGGAAAGCUAAACGACUCCAGUUCAGUUGUGCGGAUGGUGUGGAGCUCCUUCAAAGCAACUGAGACAAAGGUAGUUUUUGAACAGCUGUGGUUGUUCCAGUGCAUAAACUAAGCUGUUGUUAGUGCUAAUUGCUGUGAUGAAGUGAAAGCCUAUUGUAUUCACAUGAGCUUUUAGAAAAAGAAAGGUGCAUUGAGCUCUACGAAGAACGCGGCAUCGGCGUUCAUGGAUACGCUACGUUCGAUCAUAACCAUCACCUUUUGCAUUUUCAGAGCUUUAGAUUCUUGAUAUCUUCCUCAUUGGCAAACCAGUCUGGUAUUAUCCGUGCCAAAUGAGGGAAAAGAUCUUUGUAGACAUUCUUGAUGGUCCCUUCUGC